UACGGAGGAUCCGAGCGUUAUCCGGAUUUAUUGGGUUUAAAGGGUGCGCAGGCGGGAUGUUAAGUCGGCGGUGAAAUUUUGCAGCUCAACUGUAAAAGUGCCUUCGAUACUGGCUUCCUUGAGUGUGGAUGAAGUAGGCGGAAUUUGUGGUGUAGCGGUGAAAUGCUUAGAUAUCACGAGGAACUCCGAUUGCGCAGGCAGCUUACUAAACCACUACUGACGCUCAUGCACGAAGGCGUGGGGAUCAAACAGGAUUAGAUACCCGGGUA
rnacentral:rRNA from 1 species